GGCUCAGUAACACGUCGGUAACCUACCCUCGGGAGGGGGAUAACCCCGGGAAACUGGGGCUAAUCCCCCAUAGGUGUGGGGUACUGGAAGGUCCCCACACCGAAAGGGGCUUCGUGCCCGCCCGAGGAUGGGCCGGCGGCCGAUUAGGUAGUUGGUGGGGUAACGGCCCACCAAGCCGAAGAUCGGUACGGGCCAUGAGAGUGGGAGCCCGGAGAUGGACACUGAGACACGGGUCCAGGCCCUACGGGGCGCAGCAGGCGCGAAACCUCCGCAAUGCGGGAAACCGCGACGGGGGGACCCCCAGUGCCGUGGCAACGCCACGGCUUUUCCGGAGUGUAAAAAGCUCCGGGAAUAAGGGCUGGGCAAGGCCGGUGGCAGCCGCCGCGGUAAUACCGGCGGCCCGAGUGGUGGCCGCUAUUAUUGGGCCUAAAGCGUCCGUAGCCGGGCCCGUAAGUCCCUGGCGAAAUCCCACGGCUCAACC
rnacentral:rRNA from 1 species